rnacentral:lncRNA from 1 species
UUUGGAGUGGCAAUCUGAUUUACAACCCCCAAUAUCAAGGCAGCUGCGGAAGCACAAGUCUUAAGCAUAUGCCCAAGAAAAAGGAACAGGAAGCGAUGGGAAUGUCAAAAGAGCCCUGGGGGACUUCAGCCAUGCGUUCCAGCUCUCUCUGCUGCACCCCGCCGCUCCCGCCGGCGUUGCUGUCGCUGCUACCACUGCCGCCGCUGCUGCCCUCUUCCAUGUUCCUGACCGCGCGGUUGCCACUCUGCCUUUGCUGUCCCGGCGGGUGCGCCUGGCGUUUGGAUCAAUGUGCCCUCCCCGAGGCCGCCCCGGCCAUCUUUGUUCCGGGCGGUGCCGUGGCUCAGACGCGAUUGGCUGGUGAGGGAAUCCCUGCGGGUAAGCAGGAGAAGUCGGCGAGUCCGGGUCUGGAACUUCGGCUUGGGGGCGUGGCCUGGGCUCUCUCAUGGUCGGGGGGCGGGGACAAGGAGAAAAAUAAAAACAUCGGGGCGGAGCUCUGAGCCCUGAGUUUUUGCAGGAGGUUGAGCCUUUCGCUCCUCUUUUAUAUUUCCUUUUUCACUCCCAAACUCAUGCUGGGGAAUGUUGCAGUUUUUCUCCAUUUUCCAUACUAGAGUUGUAGAGAAUAAAAAUGAGAACAGAUUACUCAAAAACGGAGCAGUUGAGGAUAUUGCUGAAGGGCAUUUCAGGCUACCUGAUCCCUUUCCCUAUAGACCAUCUACUACUACCCUAUGGUGGAGUCAAUAAAGGAUCCUGCCCUGCGGUUCAAAAAGACUAAGAACCUGGCUUCAUUACUUUGGUUUCCUACCUAAAUGCUCUUAAUCCCUUUUUUACACUAGUUGUAGCUAUCACUUGUCCACA